UGGGGAAUAUUGCACAAUGGGCGCAAGCCUGAUGCAGCCAUGCCGCGUGUGUGAAGAAGGCCUUCGGGUUGUAAAGCACUUUCAGCGGGGAGGAAGGCGGUGAGGUUAAUAACCUCAUCGAUUGACGUUACCCGCAGAAGAAGCACCGGCUAACUCCGUGCCAGCAGCCGCGGUAAUACGGAGGGUGCAAGCGUUAAUCGGAAUUACUGGGCGUAAAGCGAACGCAGGCGGUCUGUCAAGUCGGAUGUGAAAUCCCCGGGCUCAACCUGGGAGCUGCAUCUGAUACUGGCAAGCUGGAGUCUCGUAGAGGGGGGUAGAAGUCCAGGUGUAGCGGUGAAAUGCGUAGAGAUCUGGAGGAAUACCGGUGGCGAAGGCGGCCCCCUGGACGAAGACUGACGCUCAGGUGCGAAAGCGUGGGGAGCAAACAGG
rnacentral:rRNA from 1 species